rnacentral:tRNA from 1 species
GCCCCUCCUUGUCGGUCGGGGCGGGCCCGCUCUCCUAAAGCGGGUGCCGCAGGUUCGAAUCCUGCCGGGGCA